AACGAACGCUGGCGGCAGGCUUAACACAUGCAGGUCGAACGAGAUCUUCGGAUCUAGUGGCAGACGGGUGAGGAACACGUGGGAACAUCCCUUUCAGUUCGGAAUAACGUUGGGAAACUAACGCUAAUACCGGAUACGUCCUUCGGGAGAAAGAUUUAUCGCUGAAAGAUUGGCCCGCGUCUGAUUAGCUAGUUGGUGAGGUAAUGGCUCACCAAGGCUACGAUCAGUAGCUGAUCUGAGAGGAUGAUCGGCCACAUUGGGACUGAGACACGGCCCAAACUCCUACGGGAGGCAGCAGUGGGGAAUAUUGGACAAUGGGCGCAAGCCUGAUCCAGCCAUGCCGCGUGAGUGAUGAAGGCCUUCGGGUUGUAAAGCUCUUUUAUCCGGGAAGAUAAUGACUGUACCGGAAGAAUAAGCCCCGGCAAACUUCGUGCCAGCAGCCGCCGUAA
rnacentral:rRNA from 1 species